GACGAACGCUGGCGGCGUGCUUAACACAUGCAAGUCGAACGGAAAGGCCCUGCUUUUGUGGGGUGCUCGAGUGGCGAACGGGUGAGUAACACGUGAGUAACCUGCCCUUGACUUUGGGAUAACUUCAGGAAACUGGGGCUAAUACCGGAUAGGAGCUCCUGCUGCAUGGUGGGGGUUGGAAAGUUUCGGCGGUUGGGGAUGGACUCGCGGCUUAUCAGCUUGUUGGUGGGGUAGUGGCUUACCAAGGCUUUGACGGGUAGCCGGCCUGAGAGGGUGACCGGCCACAUUGGGACUGAGAUACGGCCCAGACUCCUACGGGAGGCAGCAGUGGGGAAUAUUGCACAAUGGGCGGAAGCCUAAUGCAGCAACGCCGCGUGCGGGAUGACGGCCUUCGGGUUGUAAACCGCUUUCGCCUGUGACGAAGCGUGAGUGACGGUAAUGGGUAAAGAAGCACCGACUAACUACGUG
rnacentral:rRNA from 1 species